rnacentral:rRNA from 1 species
UACGUAGGGUGCGAGCGUUGUCCGGAAUUAUUGGGCGUAAAGAGCUCGUAGGCGGCUUGUCGCGUCGGAUGUGAAAGCCCGGGGCUUAACUCCGGGUCUGCAUUCGAUACGGGCAGGCUAGAGUUCGGUAGGGGAGAUCGGAAUUCCUGGUGUAGCGGUGAAAUGCGCAGAUAUCAGGAGGAACACCGGUGGCGAAGGCGGAUCUCUGGGCCGAUAUUGACGCUGAGGUGCGAAAGCGUGGGGAGCAAACAGG